rnacentral:rRNA from 1 species
CCUACGGGUGGCAGCAGUGAGGAAUAUUGGUCAAUGGGCGCGAGCCUGAACCAGCCAAGUAGCGUGAAGGAUGACUGCCCUCCGGGUUGUAAACUUCUUUUAUAAAGGAAUAAAGUGCGGCACGUGUGCCUUUUUGUAUGUACUUUAUGAAUAAGGAUCGGCUAACUCCGUGCCAGCAGCCGCGGUAAUCCGGAGGAUCCGAGCGUUAUCCGGAUUUAUUGGGGUUAAAGGGAGCGUAGAUGGGUUGUUAAGUCAGUUGUGAAAGUUUGCGGCUCAACCGUAAAAUUGCAAUUGAUACUGGGAGGCUUGAGUACAGUUGAGGUAGGCGGAAUUCGUGGUGUAGCGGUGAAAUGCUUAGAUAUUACGAAGAACUCCGAUUGCGAAGGCAUCUUACUAAACUGCAACUGACAUUGAUGCUCGAAAGUGUGGGGAUCAAACAGGAUUAGAUACCCCAGUAGUC